rnacentral:lncRNA from 1 species
CUGUCACUGAGUGACCGUUAUUAGUACUGCUCUGUUACUGGUCAGUGUAAGGAACUGUCAAUGAGGAAGGAUUAGUGAAGCGAUUCAGCCAACGGUCGUCAGGUGGAGAGUGAGCUACUGAUUAGAACUAAACUGUACUCACAAAGGGAAGAAAGGACUGGUAAAAGCCGAUGGAAGCAUUUCACCUUUUGUGUACUCAUUUCAACUCAGACUAUGUCGGGGAUCACAUAUUAUUGGUCCUUCUCUCUAAUUUGUCAUUAUUAACCUUUCAAAUCAUCUGCCAGCUACAUCUUCAUAUUGACAAGGUCGGGGCAGCGGUCCUAAGGUGGCGGAGGAAUAGGACCGGGAGACCACUUUUUCCCCUACAAAUUCAUCAAAAAAACAUUUGAGCGCCGAGCAAAUUUCACAGAACAACUUCUGAAUGCUGGCAGAGGACAUAAGGCACCUGGAAAAGCAGCCCAUUGUAUUCAAAAGGAGGUAGGACAAAAUAUAAAAGAUAAAAAGAGAGACAAAAGAGGUAGGGACGGAGAUCUGUCCCGGGAAGGGAGGCUUAAAAGAGAAGUUUCCAAACACCAGGAAACACUCUCUCCGGCGAGUCUGUGGUGAGUCUUGGAAUCUCAGAGGGCAAAAUAACCAGGAGGAAAAAUAAAUAAAUAAUUAAAACCCACA